rnacentral:lncRNA from 1 species
CUGGCUUCAGUGGAGAUGCGGGCAAAGCAGAUGGCUACAUGGUCAGCCUGGUGGAGAAGCUGGAGGCACUGAGCCACCACCGCUGUGGGUGUGGCACAUCUAGAACAUCUGGAGGGGAGAUCCCGCCAGUGUGCAUGAGGAAGAAAGGAAGCGACUGAGUUACAAGGUGGUACCCAAGAGAGGCAGCCUUCCACUGUGUACUGUGGGAUGAAGACAUUCCCUGACAGCCAGUGAGUGUCCAUAAGUGUCUGCCUCAUGGACCAUGCAUCCUGGGCCCUGCCGGGCUAUCCCUCUCAGCCACCCACCUGGUACUGCCCUCCUUCUCUGCCUUCUUGACCAGGUCAUGCGAUAUUGAUAAUGAGGAAGAGAGAAGGGGGUGGUUUCUGGGAGCGACCUAUGAGAACUGAGCCUAGUGGGCAGUGGCCUGGGCCUGGGGAUAUGGCAACUUCCUGAGCAGACUUGGCUUGCCCAGAAAGGGAUGGACCUGACUCAGCUCCGUUCUCACAGCCUCACCCCAGACAGGAACAAGCGCUGUGCUGUCUGUCACCUUUUAUUACAAAACCUUCUGAAAUUCUCCAAAUCGUCUCGCCGGUUAUCGUGUUCAACCACAGUGUGCUUGCAGGAGCCUCGAGCUGGAACCACAAGGCAGCCACAGUGCGUCGGGGACUUCUGUUCUGUGCCCAGGAGGGCCCCCCUCCUUUCUCCUCCCCACUAGUUUUGAUGCAGGAUCUCCCAGUGACCAAUCAGGCUAGACUGACCGGCAAGCAAGCUCUCUGGUGCCUGGAUUAUGUGCCUGGAUUAUGAACGCUCAUUACCACACCUCGCUUUGGUUUCAUGAAGGUUCUGGGGUCACACUCACCCCCACUGCACAGCCACCAUCAGCUGUGUCCUCUGGACAUUCUGACAGGUUGUUAGAACUGUUUCUGAGAAAAUAUGAUUCCCCACCCCAGCUUCAGCAUGGAUCCGGGCACCCCUGACAUUCAGUGGCACUCACUUCUGCUAAUAGGGAUCUUAGAGAUGAUCUUGGAGACGGAAGGCAUCAGUCCAAAAUGGCCACACAGCAAAUACAAACGGUGAGCCAGACAACUUGUCUCGGUGACACCUGAAUCAAGGCAGGGACCUUGUGUCACAAAGGGAGCAGCAGCCAUAAAUAUCCACAGUGGUGUGAAAUACCAGAAUGCUCUCCACAGCCCAUGAAAUGGACAUAAAUGUUUACUUCACACUAUAAUUAUGAAGAGGGGCCAUGGAUCGCCAUAAAACCCUAAAGAUUGAUGCUAAACCAACCACCUCCUUAGUAUCAUAAAUUCUGCCUGCGGUUAUAUGCAGUAUUUAAUAAACAUUAAUGAAAAUUUUGUUUAUAACACAUUUUUUUUUAAAAAAAUGGGGCUGGUGAGAUGGCUCAGUGAGUAAGAGCACCCGACUGCUCUUCCGAAGGUCCGGAGUUCAAAUCCCAGCAACCAC